AACGAACGCUGGCGGCAUGCCUAACACAUGCAAGUCGAACGAAGCCUUCGGGCUUAGUGGCGCACGGGUGCGUAACGCGUGGGAAUCUGCCCUUGGGUUCGGAAUAACAGUUAGAAAUGACUGCUAAUACCGAAUGAUGUCUUCGGACCAAAGAUUUAUCGCCCAAGGAUGAGCCCGCGUCGGAUUAGCUAGUUGGUGAGGUAAAGGCUCACCAAGGCGACGAUCCGUAGCUGGUCUGAGAGGAUGAUCAGCCACACUGGGACUGAGACACGGCCCAGACUCCUACGGGAGGCAGCAGUGGGGAAUAUUGGACAAUGGGCGAAAGCCUGAUCCAGCAAUGCCGCGUGAGUGAUGAAGGCCUUAGGGUUGUAAAGCUCUUUACCCGGGAUGAUAAUGACAGUACCGGGAGAAUAAGCCCCGGCUAACUCCGUG
rnacentral:rRNA from 1 species